GAGGGACUUGGAGUGUGGCCAUCUUUUUGGUUUGGGAUGGCAGAAAAGAGUCCUUCUUGCUGAGUGUCAGCUAAAGAAGGUUGUCGGCUGGUUGUUCCUCAACUUCUCUGAGCUAGCAGUUUUUCACCCCAGCAUCUGACUUCCAAGUCUUUGUUGAGUCCUCAUCCAGUGGCUGAUGGAAGCAGAGACAGACAUCCACAGAAAUACACUGAGCUGAAAUCUGGAACCUAGUUGAAGAGAGGGAGGAAUGAAGAAUGAAGGGGUCUGUACCAGGUUGGAGAAACCCACAGAAACAGUUGGCCUGAAAAAGGGAAAGCAUGUCGACCACAGAUGCUCUUUGGGAGGCCAGUACGGGACUAAUCCAGCCCCCUGAUCAUAGAUGCCAUCGGGGAGGCCCCUGCACUCCUGGGAGCCUCCAGAGGUGGACUGGCUUUUUGCCCUGGAUUUGGCCUGUUGUCUUCUGUCUUGCAUUGCUUCUAGCAACAAAUCUGCUGCCAUCUUCUUCCCACUGUAUGUGCAGUGUCUGGAUCAGGCUUUUU
rnacentral:lncRNA from 1 species